CUCGUCACACUAUCAUUAACUGAAUCCAUAGGUUAAUGAGGCGAACCGGGGGAACUGAAACAUCUAAGUACCCCGAGGAAAAGAAAUCAACCGAGAUUCCCCCAGUAGCGGCGAGCGAACGGGGAGGAGCCCAGAGCCUGAAUCAGCAUGUGUGUUAGUGGAAGCGUCUGGAAAGGCGCGCGAUACAGGGUGACAGCCCCGUACACAAAAGCGCACAUGCUGUGAGCUCGAUGAGUAGGGCGGGACACGUGGUAUCCUGUCUGAAUAUGGGGGGACCAUCCUCCAAGGCUAAAUACUCCUGACUGACCGAUAGUGAACCAGUACCGUGAGGGAAAGGCGAAAAGAACCCCGGCGAGGGGAGUGAAAAAGAACCUGAAACCGUGUACGUACAAGCAGUGGGAGCCCCACCACUAAGCCAGUGGUGAAAUCCACAUACGCAUCCUUUGCUGAGGAUACGGUUAACGGAGCGCAAGCGACGUUCAACCUCAAAAGAAGCAGAGGGGGCUUAGUGGUGGGGUGACUGCGUACCUUUUGUAUAAUGGGUCAGCGACUUAUAUUCUGUAGCAAGGUUAACCGAAUAGGGGAGCCGGAGGGAAACCGAGUCUUAACCGGGCGUUAAGUUGCAGGGUAUAGACCCGAAACCCGGUGAUCUAGCCAUGGGCAGGUUGAAGGUUGGGUAACACUAACUGGAGGACCGAACCGACUAAUGUUGAAAAAUUAGCGGAUGACCUGUGGCUGGGGGUGAAAGGCCAAUCAAACCGGGAGAUAGCUGGUUCUCCCCGAAAGCUAUUUAGGUAGCGCCUCGUGAAUUCAUCUCCGGGGGUAGAGCACUGUUUCGGCUAGGGGGCCAUCCCGGCUUACCAACCCGAUGCAAACUGCGAAUACCGGAGAAUGUUAUCACGGGAGACACACGGCGGGUGCUAACGUCCGUCGUGAAGAGGGAAACAACCCAGACCGCCAGCUAAGGUCCCAAAGUCAUGGUUAAGUGGGAAACGAUGUGGGAAGGCCCAGACAGCCAGGAUGUUGGCUUAGAAGCAGCCAUCAUUUAAAGAAAGCGUAAUAGCUCACUGGUCGAGUCGGCCUGCGCGGAAGAUGUAACGGGGCUAAACCAU
rnacentral:rRNA from 1 species